rnacentral:misc_RNA from 1 species
AAGACUAUAGACCUGCGGAGUACCUGCGGAGGGAUCAUUACUGGAGAUUAUAGGGGUCUUGAGACUGCGUUAUGUGUGCUCGGCCCUUCAAACUCUAUCCACACCUUUUGUGCACUUAUGGUGAUGUGAUGUCACCCUCCAUUUCAAACACCGAGGUUAUAUGCAUGUUUGUUGUCGCUCUACGGAGUUAUGAACAACUUUUAACAACGGAUCUCU